rnacentral:rRNA from 1 species
CCGCGGUAAUACGAAGGGUGCAAGCGUUAAUCGGAAUUACUGGGCGUAAAGAGCUUGUAGGCGGUUUGUCGCGUCUGCUGUGAAAAUCCGGGGCUCAACUCCGGACUUGCAGUGGGUACGGGCAGACUAGAGUGUGGUAGGGGAGACUGGAAUUCCUGGUGUAGCGGUGGAAUGCGCAGAUAUCAGGAGGAACACCGAUGGCGAAGGCAGGUCUCUGGGCCACUACUGACGCUGAGAAGCGAAAGCAUGGGGAGCGAACAGG